rnacentral:rRNA from 1 species
GGCGGCAGGCUUACCAUGCAAGUCGCACGAGAACGCUCCUUCGGGAGCAAGUAAAGUGGCGCCCUUAUGCGUAACGCGUAGACAACCUGCCCUUGAGCGGAGGAUAACCACGGGAAACUGUGGCUAAUACUCCAUAACGUCUGGAGCCCGCAUGGGGUCCGGAUCAAAGCCUUCGGGUGCUCAGGGAUGGGUCUGCGUCGGAUUAGCUCGUUGGUGAGGUAACAGCUCACCAAGGCAACAAUCCGUAGCUGGUCUGAGAGGAUGAUCAGCCUCACUGGCACUGAGACACGGGCCAGACUCCUACGGGAGGCAGCAGUGGGGAAUCUUAGGCAAUGGGGGAAACCCUGACCUAGCCAUGCCGCGUGGAGGAAGACACCCCUACGGGGCGUAAACUCCUUUUCUGCCGGAAGAAAACCCUGUUUUGCAGGGCGUGACGGUACGGCAGGAAUAAGCACCGGCUAACUCCGUGCCAGCAGCCGCGGUAAUACGGAGGGUGCAAGCGUUGUCCGGAAUCACUGGGCGUAAAGGGUGUGCAGGUGGGACCGCAAGUCAGGGGUGAAAGCCCACAGCUUAACUGUAGAAGUGCCCUUGAAACUGCUGUUCUUGAGUCCUGGAGAGGUUGCCGGAAUUCGUGGUGUAGCGGUGAAAUGCGUAGAUAUCACGAGGAACACCAGAGGCGUAAGCGGGCAACUGGACAGGUACUGACACUGAGGCACGAGAGCGUGGGGAGCAAACAGGAUUAGAUACCCUGGUAGUCCACGCCGUAAACGAUGAAUGCUCGCCGUUGUCCUGUUAGGGGACAGUGGCUAAGCUAACGCGUUUAGCAUUCCGCCUGGGGAGUACGACCGCAAGGUUGAAAACUCAAGGAAUUGACGGGGGCCCGCACAAGCGGGUGGAGCAUGUGGCUUAAUUCGAUGCAACGCGAAAAAUCUUAACCUAGCUCGAACACUACCGGAUCGGUCCCCAAAAGGACCCUCCCGUAAGGCUGGUAAUGAGGUGCUGCAGGCUGUCGUCACCUCGGCCGGGAAAUGUUGGUUAAGUCCCCCAACAAGGCCAACCCAUUCGCUAUUACCUCGGGUAGGGCCGGGAAUCUAGGAAAUGCCUGGCAA